rnacentral:rRNA from 1 species
ACAGGACUUGAUGCUGGCAGUGUAAUGCUGCAUGUGCUCGGUCUCCGUCAAAUCCACAUUACACCUGUGCACUUUCAAAGCUCUGUAGUCCUCCGUAAUGGGAGCCGCGAUUGUAAUGAUUGCUGGGGCUACACCUUUGCCCAUACACUCAUAAACUUUGUAUAUUGUCUUGUAGAAUGUCUAAUGGCCUUUGAUGGCUUAACAUAAUACAACUUUCAACAACGGAUCUCUUGGCUCUCGCAUCGAUGAAGAACGCAGCGAAAUGCGAUAAGUAAUGUGAAUUGCAGAAUUCAGUGAAUCAUCGAAUCUUUGAACGCACCUUGCGCUCCUUGGUAUUCCGAGGAGCAUGCCUGUUUGAGUGUCAUUAAAUCAUCAAUUCUCGACUUCUGUAAUGGUUGUUGUUGAAUUGGACUUGGGGACUUGCUGGUUCUAUCUGAACCGGCUUCCCUCAAAUGCAUUAGCUGAAGUCUUACAAGCAGCGUAUAUGUGGUGUGAUAAUAUCUUCACUGUAUUGCUCUUGUUGAAUUCGGCUUCUAAUGGUCCUUCAAUUGGACAACACUUUGACAAUUUGACCUCAAAUCAGGUAGGACUACCCGCUGAACUUAAGCAUAUCAAUAA